AUGCUCACUUGAGCAGUACAGAUUUGAAAGUUGGUACCCUACAGAGAAGAUUAGCCUGGCUUCCAUGCAAGGAUGACAUGAAAAUUCAUGAAGGCUUCCAUAUUUUA